AUACGUAGGGAGCGAGCGUUGUCCGGAAUUACUGGGCGUAAAGGGCGCGUAGGCGGGAAAUUAAGUCAGGUGUGAAAACUCCGAGCUCAACUUGGAGAUUGCACUUGAAACUGGUAUUCUUGAGGGCAGGAGAGGAAAGUGGCAUUCCUAGUGUAGCGGUGAAAUGCGUAGAUAUUAGGAGGAACACCAGUGGCGAAGGCGACUUUCUGGACUGCACCUGACGCUGAGGCGCGAAAGCGUGGGUAGCGAACGGGAUUAGAUACCCCGGUAGUCCACGCUGUAAACGAUGGGUACUAGGUGUAGGAGGUAUCGACCCCUUCCGUGCCGCAGUUAACGCAAUAAGUACCCCGCCUGGGGAGUACGGCCGCAAGGUUGAAACUCAAAUGAAUUGACGGGG
rnacentral:rRNA from 1 species